AUUGAACGCUGGCGGCAGGCCUAACACAUGCAAGUCGAACGAGUGGCGGACGGGUGUGUAAUGUCUGUGAAAUUGCCUGAUGGAGGGGGUUAACUACUGGAAACGGUAGCUAAUACCGCAUACCUUCAGUUUUGCCCAGAUGGGAUUAGUUUGUUGGUGUGGUAACGGCUAACCAAGGCGACGAUCCCUAGCUGGUCUGAGAGGAUGACCGGCCACACUGGGACUGAGACACGGUCCAGACUCCUACGGGAGGCAGCAGUGGGGAAUAUUGCACAAUGGGCGCAAGCCUGAUGAAGCCAUGCCGCGUGUAUGAAGAAGGCCUGCGGGUUGUAAAGUACUUUCAGCGGGGAGGCGUUACUCGCAGAAGAAGCACCGGCUAACUCCGUGCCAGCAGCCGCGGUAAUAC
rnacentral:rRNA from 1 species